CGCGUGGUCUUUACCGAGUGGAGGAUCCCAACCCAUGUGAACGUUACCAAACUGUUGCCUCGGCGGGAUCUCUGCCCCGGGUGCGUCGCAGCCCCGGACCAAGGCGCCCGCCGGAGGACCAACCAAAACUCUUAUUGUAUACCCCCUCGCGGGUUUUUUUAUAAUCUGAGCCUUCUCGGCGCCUCUCGUAGGCGUUUCGAAAAUGAAUCAAAACUUUCAACAACGGAUCUCUUGGUUCUGGCAUCGAUGAAGAACGCAGCGAAAUGCGAUAAGUAAUGUGAAUUGCAGAAUUCAGUGAAUCAUCGAAUCUUUGAACGCACAUUGCGCCCGCCAGUAUUCUGGCGGGCAUGCCUGUCCGAGCGUCAUUUCAACCCUCGAACCCCUCCGGGGGGUCGGCGUUGGGGAUCGGCCCUGCCUUGGCGGUGGCCGUCUCCGAAAUACAGUGGCGGUCUCGCCGCAGCCUCUCCUGCGCAGUAGUUUGCACACUCGCAUCGGGAGCGCGGCGCGUCCACAGCCGUUAAACACCCAACUUCUGAAAUGUUGACCUCGGAUCAGGUAGGAAUACCCGCUGAACUUAAGCAUAUCAAAUAAAGCGGAGGGAAAA
rnacentral:rRNA from 1 species